AGGAAAAGUUACAUCUGUGGAGUAAGACUGAGCGCAAGGAGCCAAACAUCAACUGGAAGGCGAAUCCUGCUUUAUACUUGGCGUGUUUUGGGACAGCAACUCCUGCGUUUUUCUGCUCUUUCACAAUACAAAGGGAUAACGGGUGACUGUUAUAAGAUAUAUCAUUCAAUAUCAUGCUUAACGUGUAGUGUGUCUCACUGAUGUAGCAAAAUCUAUUUAGCUGACAGACAGUAAUUGUUCUUUUUUAGUGCAAAUAUGAAGGAAUCAGGCAGGUCAGCACGUCUGAAAAAGACCAAAGAGGGCCAAAGGGAAAAUGAGUGGCACACAAUUUCCUGAUCUUUGGUGGCAGCUCAGGAACAUAUAAGAGAUUACAGAACUCUUUGGAGAGGACCGAAUUCGCAGAAGAUCUGACACAGAAAUCCAUUCACCUUCACGAUGAACAAGACACUUCUUACAGUCCUAGUGAUCGUGCUAGUCGUUGGUGUUUUCACGGAGCAAGGUGACGCUAUACUUCGUGCUGGCAGGGAUCGAAUCGAGAAGGCACCAAGUGACUCUAAAAUGCAGCAAAGGGAGACAGAAGAUGUGGUUGACGUACCUUACUGCAUUAUGCCAAACGGUGAGUGGAGAAAGAAGUGAAAAAUCUCAACGAUGAUAACCAAUGCCCAAAGACGAAGAAGCUAACUAUCGUAGUCGCUAGCUCGAUGGUUCAGGAGAAGAAUCAUGUAAAAGUAGUGAUUAACUGAUAAAAAAUUAGAAAAUCUGAAUAAAAUAUGUGGCUAUGACAACAUGCA